GAUGAACGCUGGCGGCGUGCUUAACACAUGCAAGUCGAACGGAACUACUCCAAUGAGAGUCUUCGGAAAGGAUUUGGUUUAGUUUAGUGGCGGACGGGUGAGUAACGCGUGGGUAACCUGCCCUAUACAGGGGGAUAACAGUUGGAAACGACUGUUAAUACCGCAUAAGCGCACAGGAGCGCAUGCUCCGGUGUGAAAAACUCCGGUGGUAUAGGAUGGACCCGCGUCUGAUUAGCUGGUUGGCGGGGUAACGGCCCACCAAGGCGACGAUCAGUAGCCGGCCUGAGAGGGUGACCGGCCACAUUGGGACUGAGACACGGCCCAAACUCCUACGGGAAGCAGCAGUGGGGAAUAUUGCACAAUGGGGGAAACCCUGAUGCAGCGACGCCGCGUGAGCGAAGAAGUAUCUCGGUAUGUAAAGCUCUAUCAGCAGGGAAGAAAAUGACGGUACCUGACGAAGAAGCCCCGGCUAACUACGUG
rnacentral:rRNA from 1 species